UACGUAGGGUGCAAGCGUUGUCCGGAAUUAUUGGGCGUAAAGAGCUCGUAGGCGGUCUGUUGCGUCGGCUGUGAAAACCCGGGGCUCAACUCCGGGCCUGCAGCCGAUACGGGCAGACUAGAGUUCGGCAGGGGAGACUGGAAUUCCUGGUGUAGCGGUGAAAUGCGCAGAUAUCAGGAGGAACACCUAUUGCGAAGGCAGCUCGCUGGGACGUAACUGACGCUGAGACGCGAAAGCGUGGGGAGCAAACAGG
rnacentral:rRNA from 1 species